rnacentral:rRNA from 1 species
UACGGAGGGGGCUAGCGUUGUUCGGAAUUACUGGGCGUAAAGCGCGCGUAGGCGGCUUUGUAAGUUAGAGGUGAAAGCCCGGAGCUCAACUCAGGAACUGCCUUUAAAACUGCAUCGCUUGAAUCCAGGAGAGGUGAGUGGAAUUCCGAGUGUAGAGGUGAAAUUCGUAGAUAUUCGGAAGAACACCAGUGGCGAAGGCGGCUCACUGGACUGGUAUUGACGCUGAGGUGCGAAAGCGUGGGGAGCAAACAGG